rnacentral:lncRNA from 1 species
UUUUCUAGGGCCGCUCCCACAGCAUAUGGAGGUUCCCAGGCUAGGGGUCUAAUCAGAGCCAUAGCCGACGGCCUACACCACAGCCACAGCAACACCAGAUCCAAGCCACAUCUGCGACCUACACCACAGCUCACAGCAACGCCGGGUCCUUAACCCACUGAGCAAGAGCAGGGAUCGAACCUGCAACCUCAUGGUUCCUAGUUGGAUUCGUUAACCACUGUGCCACGACGGGAACUCCAAGUGGUCUGCCUUUUAAUAAAUGAGGAAACCAAACAAGAUAUGGGUGUAGGAAUGAGAGGCCAACUCAACUUUUUAAGGGCCACAUCUGUGGCACAUGGAGUUUCCCAGGCUAGGCAUUGAAAUCAGGGCUGCGGCUGCCGGCCUACACCACAGUCAGAGGAAUGCCAGAUCCAAACCUCGUCUGCAACCUACACCACAGCUCACGGCAAUGCCAGAUCCUUAACCCACUGAGCAAAUUCAGGGAUCGAACCCACAACCUCAUGGUUCCCAGUCAGAUUCACUAACCACUGCGCAAUGAUGGGAACUCCAGCAGCUGUAGUUCUCAUUUGAUCCCUAGCCUGGGAACUUCCAUAUGCCGCAGGUGUGGGUUCCCCAAAGCCGGUCAUGCCCACUGAGCCUGUGUCCACUGACAGUCUGCCCAGCAGAGGGCACGGCUGGCCUUGAAGGCAGCAGGGACUGCCGAAUGGCCAGAGGAGGCUGAGCUGGCCCAGGGGUCUCUCCCCUGUCACAACCCCCCACAUUAAGCCCCAGGCCAGGAGGUCCCGGGACCCCUGGCAGUGCCCCAUUUUCAGAGGGCAGACUCAGGGGGCGGCCACUCGCCCACAGCCACUUUCCUGCUCAAGAGUUCAGGUUGCACCAGAAACAAGGGGUCUUUUCAUCCAGCGUCACCCACGACGUUCGGCCCCACGCACCUGGGAGCCGAUCACACUCCCACAGCCAGGCAGGCACUGGGGGAAUACGUCUUAACGUGGUGCCCAGGGAUAGAAGACCAUGCAGGGGAGGGGUGAGAUGAAACAGCACCAGGCUGGGGACCACCCUCCAGGGCGGGAGGCAGGGAGCAUCCCCAGGGCAGGCGGGAGGCUGCAGCGGGGGUGCAGGUGGGCGCAUGGGAAACCUGCUCCCACAGGCCAGGAAAUGCCCUCAGGAGAGGAGGCGGAGCGGCAGGAGAAUGGGGGACCCAGCAGGUUGUGGGGGUGCCAGGGAGCUGACAUCAAAGAUCCCCCAGCCCACCAAGGCUCCUACCACCAUCUACAGCAUGUCUAGGGUAAGAAGACUUACGAGGGGCUCUCCUGGGACCUUCCUGGCCCCCCAAGGUCAGCGAAGCCCGAACAUUAGGCCCUUGCAGGAGGUGGGGGAGGGGGCAUGAGGGAGCCGUCCCACUGGGAUCUCAACAGUGGCCCUGAUAUCCCCCCACUCAACACCCUCCCCUCGCCCCCCAGUGGGCUCAAGGCCAAGGGCACAAGGAGGGGCAGCAAUCAGCAGGGCCAAGCCCAGGGCCAGAGCCCCAGGUGUGGUGCGUAAUGGCUUCAUCCGCCAGGGACCUGCUGGCGCACCGGCUGCAGCUGGACCCAGGCCGCACAUUUAACCCCGAGACGGCAAGAAAGGCCCACUGCCCAUCACAGCCACCGCCAUGUAGAACCCACGACACGGAGGGCAGGAGGGGGACCGUGCUCGGGAUGCGCCCCACGUGGAGGGGAGGUAGGAAGCAGGGGGGGGGAGGAGGCCCUGUGUCCAUUCCCACAACCCUACCUCCCUUCUGAAAGGCCACUUUCUUUGUUUCCUGAACCCGCAGGCCUCUCGGCCUCAUUCUCAGGAUAAGGAGCAGGGGCUGGGCUCUGCGGGGGCAGGGGGGACUUCUGGGGCCGUCGGAGCCCUGCGGCCUCUGGGUCCUGGGUUUUCUACAUGGACAUGUGGACCCACCACGAGGCCACCGGCGGAAGUGGCAUCCAUGGCUGCAGGGCAACUGCCGCAAGCCUGGUUCGAGACUCCUGCAGACGCCGAGUUCUAGGCUGCUGGUCACUCCUGCUGUGACCUAAGCCUCACAGGAAGGCUGGGAUUGCAGAGGCGCAGGAGAUAGGAGGCAGCCCAAGGGCCUGCCGAGCGAGCAGGCGAGCAGAUCCUGGGGUCGUGGAGCCUGGCAGGGAGGGACCGAGCCCAUGACACCAUGCUCAGACACGGAGCUCCCUCCUGUGCUGGGCAUGGCCCAGUGAGGGGGUGUCCUGAUCAGUGUGGCUCAGAUCUCUCCGGAAUCAUGGAGAUGUUUUUGUUUGUUUGUUUGUUUGUUUGUUUUUUGGCAUUAUCAACAGGAUGUGAAACACUUGCAAGGAAGGGGGCUACGUGCAGCUCAGAAACUGAUUAAAUUGAACUGAAACAGAAAUUCCCAUCAUGGCUCAGCAGAAACGAAUCCGACUAGCAUCCAUGAGGAUGCAGGUUUGAUCCCUGGUCUUGCUCAAUGGGUUAAGGAUCCAGCGUUGCUGUGAGCUGUGGUGAAGGUUGCAGACAUGGCUUAGAUCCCGAGUUUCUGUGGCUGUGGUGCAGGCCAGCGGCUCUAACUCCGAUUGAACGGAACCAGCCACUUGUAGCUAGUGGGCAGCCCAGGGCUAGAGCAGGAAACCCCGAAGUGGGGUCACCACCCAUUAGGCAGAGGGUACAGGAGUGUCGGCGAGAUGAAGGGGCCCAAACUCAAGAGUCAACACGAUGGUGACCACUAGGACACUGGGCAGCUGGGCCUCCAGGUCAGGAGGGAGAGGUAGAGAAAGACUGGGGGCCAAGCAGGGAGUGAUGCCGGAGACGGGAGACAGAAGAGACGCUGCUGUCAGGGGGGUGGGAGGGGACCAGCAUCCUGCCCUAAGACGACAAGCCCAGCGUGGGCAUCAAACACCACCCAGAGGUCAGGGUGAGCAGAGGCCACUGGCCAAACUGGGUGGGGAAGGGAGGGGGCCCAGGCCAGGAAGACAGAGGGGAGAUUUUGUUUGUUGCUUUGGACGAGAAACAUGAGCCUGUCUGCAGGGGAAGGAGCCAGGAGAGACCCAAAAGGAACAAGAGGAGGGAGACAAUGGUGGAGAGAGGUCCCCCAGGAGGGACCGGGAAGAGGGUGCGAGCAGGGAGGCCCCCCCGCAACCCGGGCCGGGACAGGAGGCGCUGAAAGUGGGAGAACCUCGCUGUUGCCUUUUCUGCUCCAUAUCAAAGUGCUGUGUGCACAUUCCAGAAAAUACAGAAAAAGGGAGACAGGGCAGGGCGGGCGCCUCCCAUUGUCCCAUCAGCUGGGAGAGAUGCGAGGCGGCCGGGAAAUCGAGCCUUCGGAGAGCCCUGGCACGGGCAGCGUGGCCGGAACCCGCCACAAAGGGCCACUCCCAGAGCGAGCUCAUUAGGGAGAGGAGCCGGUGCCCGUGACAGGCGGGCGCAUUCAGGGCGGUCACACAAUCAGGCCCUUGUGGGGGGCGGGGGAGGUGGGGUGGGGGGGGGCCCGGAGCCUCCGAUUUCAGGACAAGAGUGCCUCCCUCUUGCCUUACAACCCGGAGCAGAUGGAGAGACACAUUCGGGAAGACAAAGAGAUGCCCCCCUGACAGCGGAUGGGCUAUUUUUGGAAAUGGGUCGCCUCUUCUCCCUAGCUGCCUGGGUCUGGGUGCCAUCGGCCCUGCCUGCAUUUGUCCCCUAGACUGCAGCCUAAAAAGGUCCCCGCCCCAUCUACAGUGGCCCAGCCUCCCGCGACACGACGAGGGUGGCAAAGGUAGCACUGCCUCGCAGAUGCCUGGGGAUCUGCUCUCGCUCUUAGGACAGGGAGUGGGGGAGCAAGCAGGGUGUGUCCAGAGCUGGGGCAGGUGUUCAGGAAAUGGGUUCAAACCCAGCUUUCCACCGCUGCCUGGCGGCCCCGCCCGGCAAACCAAAGCCAGCUCCCUGGGCAUCCACGCGGCAAAUGUCGGCAGAGAGACAAUACCCAUGGGCCUGUUUCUCCCUCACGGCUAACACGAACUGACACCAGGCCCCGAGAUGUCCCAGCGUGGGGUGGCCUUGCCUCGGGCUGACCUACGGAUGGGCAUCUCCAGCUUGGGUGGCCCGCGGGCUCAGCAGCUUCCCUCCCAGGGCUUCCCGCAGCGGCCACGGCUGUGGCAGGCCCCUCGGGGAGCCACUGCAGCCUCCAGGACCAACGGGGCCCAUCCUUUGUGGCUGGUCCAAGUGCUGGCAUUUCUUAAAGUUCCCCAAGCUGAUAUACAACG